rnacentral:rRNA from 1 species
GAUGAACGCUGGCGGCGUGCCUAAUACAUGCAAGUCGAGCGAACAGACGAGGAGCUUGCUCCUCUGACGUUAGCGGCGGACGGGUGAGUAACACGUGGAUAACCUACCUAUAAGACUGGGAUAACUUCGGGAAACCGGAGCUAAUACCGGAUAAUAUAUUGAACCGCAUGGUUCAAUAGUGAAAGACGGUUUUGCUGUCACUUAUAGGUGGAUCCGCGCCGCAUUAGCUAGUUGGUAAGGUAACGGCUUACCAAGGCAACGAUGCGUAGCCGACCUGAGAGGGUGAUCGGCCACACUGGAACUGAGACACGGUCCAGACUCCUACGGGAGGCAGCAGUAGGGAAUCUUCCGCAAUGGGCGAAAGCCUGACGGAGCAACGCCGCGUGAGUGAUGAAGGUCUUCGGAUCGUAAAACUCUGUUAUUAGGGAAUAACAAAUGUGUAAGUAACUAUGCACGUCUUGACGGUACCUAAUCAGAAAGCCACGGCUAACUACGUG